rnacentral:rRNA from 1 species
CACGUAGGCGGUCUGUUAUGUCGGAUGUGAAAGCCCUCGGCUCAACUGAGGAAGUGCAUCCGAAACUGGCAGGCUAGAGUACUAAAGAGGGUCGCGGAAUUCCCGGUGUAGAGGUGAAAUUCGUAGAUAUCGGGAGGAACACCGGUGGCGAAGGCGGCGACCUGGGUAGAUACUGACGCUGAGGUGCGAAAGCGUGGGGAGCAAACA